rnacentral:rRNA from 1 species
UACGUAGGGUGCAAGCGUUUGUCCGGAAUUAUUGGGCGUAAAGAGCUCGUAGGCGGCUCGUCACGUCGGCUGUGAAAACCCGGGGCUCAACCCCGGGCCUGCAGUCGAUACGGGCGAGCUAGAGUUCGGCAGGGGAGACUGGAAUUCCUGGUGUAGCGGUGAAAUGCGCAGAUAUCAGGAGGAACACCGGUGGCGAAGGCGGGUCUCUGGGCCGAUACUGACGCUGAGGAGCGAAAGCGUGGGGAGCGAACAGG